rnacentral:SRP_RNA from 1 species
ACCAGGUAUGGUGGCUCAUGCCUAUAAUCCCUGUUACUGGGAUAGGCUGAAGUUGGUAGAUUACUUUAAUUCAGGAGUUCUGAGCUGCAGUGGGGCUAAGUCCCAGGUACCCAGAUUGCCUAGCACAAAUAUGGUAAGCCUCCAGUAGUGGAGGACCACCAGGUCGCCUGAGGAGGGUUAAACCAGCCUAGAUCAGAAAAAUGGAGCAGGUUGAAACUUCUGUACUAAUCAGUAUUGAGAUCAGAACUGUGAGUGGCCACUGCACUUCCAGCUUGGGUUGAGAUAGGGAGACUCAGUCUCA